UUGGAGGGCAAGUCUGGUGCCAGCAGCCGCGGUAAUUCCGGCUCCAAUAGCGUAUAUUAAAGUUGUUGCAGUUAAAAAGCUCGUAGUUGAAUUUCGGGGUCAGUAGGUUGGUCGUGCCACUGGUGUGUACUGGCUUUACUGACUCCUCCUUCUUGAAGAACUGUAAUGUCAUUAAUUUGGUGUUGCAGGGAAACAGGACUGUUACUUUGAAAAAAUUAGAGUGUUUAAAGCAGGCUAACGCUUGAAUACAUUAGCAUGGAAUAAUGAAAUAGGACGUUUGAUCCUAUUUUGUUGGUUUCUAGGAUUGACGUAAUGAUUAAUAGGGAUAGUUGGGGGCAUUAGUAUUCAAUUGUCAGAGGUGAAAUUCUUGGAUUUAUUGAAGACUAACUACUGCGAAAGCAUUUGCCAAGGAUGGUUUCAUUAAUCAAGAACGAAAGUUAGGGGAUCGAAGGCGAUCAGAUACCGUCGUAGUCUUAACCAUAAACUAUGCCGACUAGGGAUCGGAUGAUGUUAAUUUUUUAAUGACUCAUUCGGCGCCUUACGGGAAAC
rnacentral:rRNA from 1 species